GUCCAUGACUGUACCACCCUGAGCACACCUGAUCACAGAAGCUCAGCAGCCAAGCAGGGUUGAGCCUGGUCAGUACCUGGCUGGAAAAGGUGAAGUCUGGCUCUGGAGU
rnacentral:rRNA from 1 species